CAACUUUCAGCAACGGAUCUCUUGGCUCUCGCAUCGAUGAAGGAACGCAGCGAAAUGCGAUAAGUAAUGUGAAUUGCAGAAUUCAGUGAAUCAUCGAAUCUUUGAACGCACCUUGCGCUCCUUGGUAUUCYGAGGAGCAUGCCUGUUUGAGUGUCAUUU
rnacentral:rRNA from 1 species